rnacentral:rRNA from 1 species
UACGUAGGUGGCAAGCGUUAUCCGGAAUUAUUGGGCGUAAAGCGCGCGCAGGCGGUUUCUUAAGUCUGAUGUGAAAGCCCACGGCUCAACCGUGGAGGGUCAUUGGAAACUGGGGAACUUGAGUGCAGAAGAGGAAAGCGGAAUUCCACGUGUAGCGGUGAAAUGCGUAGAGAUGUGGAGGAACACCAGUGGCGAAGGCGGCUUUUUGGUCUGUAACUGACGCUGAGGCGCGAAAGCGUGGGGAGCAAACAGG